CAACUAGGGACACACCCAAUACAAAGAACUAACUCUCUAGACUGAGGAACCUGCCUCAGCUUCAGUCCCCAGAGCCGACUCUUCUGUGAGCCCAAAAAGGAAGAAGCAUGGAGAAACUCCUGGGAGGGACUUUGGUGAUUCUAUGCCUUCAGCUGGCCAUGGUGAACAGCCAACAAGAAGAAGAGAAGCCUCAGACUCUGAGCAUCCAGGAAGGUGAAAAUGUUACCAUGAAUUGCAGUUAUAAAUCUACUAUAAGCUCUUUACAGUGGUAUAGACAAGACUCAGGUAGAGGCCCUGUCUCGAUAAUUCUAAUACGGACAAAUGAGAGAGAGAAACCCAGUGGAAGACUAAGAGCCACGCUUGACACGGCCAACCGAAGAAGUUCCUUGUCCAUCUCAGCUUCCCAGACUGCAGACACUGCUACUUACUUCUGUGCUACAGACGCACAGUUCUCCCCAGGCACCUGCAGCUCCUACACAAACCUUUCUGUAGCUGCUGCUUAGAAGCCCCGACAGUGCUGGAGUUGAUGGGUAUGUCUUCCAGGAAGCAGAGUGUACAAAAACGGAAAACCUGAAUGGAGAGCCUUUUCCAAUUGGUGACUUUCAUUCGGAAGAAUCUGGGACUAGGUUAAAGAGCAUGGAAUUGGGAGUGGGAAACUGAA